UACGGAGGGGGCUAGCGUUGUUCGGAAUUACUGGGCGUAAAGCGCACGUAGGCGGCUUUGCAAGUUAGAGGUGAAAGCCCGGGGCUCAACUCCGGAAUUGCCUUUAAAACUGCAUCGCUAGAAUUGUGGAGAGGUAAGUGGAAUUCCGAGUGUAGAGGUGAAAUUCGUAGAUAUUACGGAAGAACACCAGUGGCGAAGGCGACUUACUGGACACAUAUUGACGCUGAGGUGCGAAAGCGUGGGGAGCAAACAGG
rnacentral:rRNA from 1 species